rnacentral:rRNA from 1 species
CAACUUUCAGCAAUGGAUCUCUUGGCUCUCGCAUCGAUGAAGAACGCAGCGAAAAGCGAUAUGUAAUGUGAAUUGCAGAUCUACAGUGAAUCAUUGAAUCUUUGAACGCACCUUGCGCUCCUCGGUGUUCUGAGGAGCAUGCCUGUUUGAGUGUCAGUA